AUUUAUUUUCAUUUUUAAUUUAAUCAUUUUAACUUUUUAUUGAGCAUUUUUAAUGCUUUAAAGAACAAUUUUAGAUUAUAAUGUUUUAAUGUUCUACUAAUAACUAGACAGCUGUAUAUACAACAACCACAUUAAAAUGUUUUAUUAUAUCUUAUGACAAUGUCAUUAAAUGUUUAUUAAAUAUUUAUUUAAUUUUUAUUUAAGUUGCAUUUUCUCUAUAUAUUUUUUGUUUUUGUUUUUGGACCGAUAAUAAAGUCAAAUAAUUGUAUGUGAGAGAGCCAGUCUUAAAAAAUAUCAAUGUGUUCUUAUUGGUCAGUGUUAGUGUCAGGACUCGGGUAUGAUCUGUCCUUUUUUUUUCUUGCUUUUUUUUUUUACUUUUUUUUUCAUUUUCGUUUCUGCUCAUUUUUCUACCCUUGUUUUCGUUUUGUUUCCCUUUUUCUCUCUAUUUGAUUUUUAAUCUCUUUCCUCUGGUUUUCCUUCCCUUCGCUCUAGCGCCAGCUGAUCUCGCUCAGCAAUCUAGGCUGCGGCUUGUCUGACACACCUGUUCCCUCUAUCUCGUUACUCACCCUAUUUAUUCUGCUGGAUUUCACUCCUCCUUUUCAGUGUAUUCUGUGUUGUUUGGGCGUUCUGGCUUCGGUUCUGUCCUGUUUCUCCUUUCUGGUCAGUACGCUCAAUGGUUUGUCUGCCCGGUUGGUGUAACGUGUGCUCUGCCCUCAGAGGAUUUCGGACUGCUCUUCUGGUUCUCAACCUGGACUGUUUUUGACCUUGUUGCUGGUCAGUACGCUCAAUGGUUUGUCUGCCCGGUUGGUGUAACGUGUGCUCUGCCCUCAGAGGAUUUCGGACUGCUCUUCUGGUUCUCGACCUGGACUGUUUUUGACCUUGUUGCUGCCCACCGUUCUCAGCCCUGUCUGCACCUCGCCUGACCUCCCUGUCUGCUGUACCACUCUCCUGCCUACAGUUUUGGAUUUGUUUGCCCCUCCUCUCCUGGCGCUCACAAAGGCUGAGCGCAUUACCUGCCCGCUGUGCAGUUGGAAGUUAAGACUGAGUUUUCUCCCCCGAGUUGGGGUUUUGUUUUUUGGACGUUAGGCCUUCGCCUUCUUCUGUUAAUAAACUUACCAUUUUCAGCCUCAUCCGCUCUUGGGUCCUUAUCUGUCCUGACAGUUAGAAGAACUCUAGUUAGCCUGCGUUGGACCAGGUUAGUUUCCCAGCAUAUGUUACCAGAAUUACUGAGCUUGAGCUUUGGUAAAUUUGCUUUAUGGAACCAAAUCAACUGACAAUAAUUUAGACUCAGUUAAAUAAGCCUUGCUCAGUUGGUAAACUUGUUUUAUGAAACAGCCCCCUGUUUACUCUGAUACUGAAGCCUGAUUUUUUCAUGUUUGUGUAACAGCAAAGGGGUGAAGCCGAUUGCUAUAUAAGUCAGCUCUGAGCGCCAUUUAUCUGAAUUUUCCCCUUCAGCAUGGAGAUCAUCUUUGCAAAGAGCUAAUUUCCUCUGCAUUGUUGCAAAUGCUGCACCACUUAUGUGGUUAGUGCAGGGCACCCCUGCAUGCUUCAGAUGGGCACACUGAGUGCACCACUUGCCUGGACCAUGCCCAUGCUGAAGGAUGCGCUAGGGCUGCAUGAUUAAUUGAAAUUAAAUCACAUUCACGAUUAGGCAAAAGCUGUAGUAAAUCUCCAUCCGAAGGCCAGAGGACACUCUUGCACUGAAAAUCCAAAUGUGCCCCACAGAAGAAAGGUAAUGCACGUCGUUCCAGGAAACAAAAGAUUGAACUGCUUUCACUGAUUCAUUGUGAGUAAUAAACACACAACUAUGACAAUAAAUGGUUUAACUGAGUUCUUAUUAUAAUUUUCGUUAUAAUUACGUGAGUUUGGAGUAAAAACAUGUUAUUGAAUAUCAAUAUCAAGCAUUGCGUUCAGUCAAGUCUGCAUCAGCUGAUAGUCAGCUGUUCCUGAUGUGUACUAAUCCAGUUUAACACUUAUCACAGCGGUCCGUUUAAUUCCAUUCUUUCAGCAUUUCUCCAAUCGCAUCGCUGCUUACAAAUCAAACUCCCUCAUAUAACCCCAACUCCACUUAGUCUCAUGAGGCAAGACCUUCAGACUAACAGCUGAAGGUCUGGAAUCCAUGGCAGCUGUCAUUGGCCAAGGCCCA
ensembl:lncRNA